CCUACGGGAGGCAGCAGUGAGGAAUAUUGGUCAAUGGACGGGAGUCUGAACCAGCCAAGUAGCGUGAAGGAUGACUGCCCUAUGGGUUGUAAACUUCUUUUAUAAAGGGAUAAAACGAGGCACGUGUGCCUUUUUGCAGGUACUUUAUGAAUAAGGAUCGGCUAACUCCGUGCCAGCAGCCGCGGUAAUACGGAGGGUCCGAGCGUUAUCCGGAUUUAUUGGGUUUAAAGGGAGCGUAGAUGGGUUGUUAAGUCAGUUGGGAAAUUCUGCGGCUCAACCGUACAAUUGAAAUUGAUACUGGCAGUCUUGAGUACAGUUGAGGUAGGCGGAAUUCGUGGUGUAGCGGUGAAAUGCUUAGAUAUCACGAAGAACCCCGAUUGCGAAGGCAGCUUAC
rnacentral:rRNA from 1 species